rnacentral:misc_RNA from 1 species
GCAGUGGCACGUUCAACUGUCUUAAUAAUGCUCUUUGUUUAAAAAAUUUAAACAAUUUAGUGAGAUCUAUUGCGACAAUAUAAUAAAAUAAUCUUUUCUAAUGUGUAUUGAAUAAUUGAUUUAUUUGAAAAAAAAUAUUAUCAUAUUAUAAUAUUUUAAUUAUUGUUUAAAUAUGGAAGAAAUAGAAUCCUUAAGAGGUUUGCUACAAAAAAGGAGAAAUAUUUGUUGUGAAAAGUAUAAAAAUGAUAAAGAACAACAGUUAGAAGAAUAUAAAAAUUUAAUGAAUCAGUUAAAAGCUUUACGAGAUGAAAGUAUGGACUGUCAAGAGAUUAUUAGUAAAAACUGUAAUUAUUUAAUUACACACGAGAAUGCGGUAAAAAAAUUGUUAUUUGAAUCCAAACAUGUCCAGGGUUUACCAAUAUCGCAUGAAUGCCAUCGACAAUCGGUAGAAUUUUUUUCAAAUGCUUUAGAAUUUUUAAAUAAUUUUCAAGCUGCUAAUGGACCUUUAGAAAUCUUACAAAAUGAUAACAUAGACGCCGAAAAGAUAAUUAAUAAUAUCGUGGCAUGUACCAAUCAUAUGAAAAUGCAGAAUUGAAUUCAUCAGAUUCGUAGUCUGUUGAUCUCAUAUGCAAGCAUUAUUAAUUGUGGAUCGAUAAUCUCCUGCAACAUUUAUAAACGGAACAACGGACUCAUCUUUUAAAUCUAAUUGACUGUCUUGAUUCAAUGAACUUUUUACUGGAUUAAUAUUAUCUGUACUUGUAUCAGACAAUGAUAGUAUUGGUUUAUCGCUUGAUUGAAUGCUGGAUACAGAACUAUUUAUAGUUUUAAUACCAAAUAAACUUUCCAUUAAAGUA